GAUGAACGCUGGCGGCGUGCCUAAUACAUGCAAGUCGAGCGAACGGAUAAGGAGCUUGCUCCUUUGAAGUUAGCGGCGGACGGGUGAGUAACACGUGGGUAACCUACCUAUAAGACUGGAAUAACUUCGGGAAACCGGAGCUAAUGCCGGAUAACAUUUGGAACCGCAUGGUUCUAAAGUAAAAGAUGGUUUUGCUAUCACUUAUAGAUGGACCCGCGCCGUAUUAGCUAGUUGGUAAGGUAACGGCUUACCAAGGCAACGAUACGUAGCCGACCUGAGAGGGUGAUCGGCCACACUGGAACUGAGACACGGUCCAGACUCCUACGGGAGGCAGCAGUAGGGAAUCUUCCGCAAUGGACGAAAGUCUGACGGAGCAACGCCGCGUGAGUGAUGAAGGUUUUCGGAUCGUAAAACUCUGUUAUUAGGGAAGAACAAAUGUGUAAGUAACUGUGCACAUCU
rnacentral:rRNA from 1 species